UGGGGAAUUUUGGACAAUGGGCGAAAGCCUGAUCCAGCCAUGCCGCGUGCGGGAAGAAGGCCUUCGGGUUGUAAACCGCUUUUGGCAGGAACGAAACGGCGCGGGCUAAUACCCCGCGCUAAUGACGGUACCUGCAGAAUAAGCACCGGCUAACUACGUGCCAGCAGCCGCGGUAAUACGUAGGGUGCGAGCGUUAAUCGGAAUUACUGGGCGUAAAGCGUACGCAGGCGGCUCUGUAAGACAGAUGUGAAAUCCCCGGGCUCAACCUGGGAACUGCAUUUGUGACUGCAGAGCUAGAGUUUGUCAGAGGGGGGUGGAAUUCCACGUGUAGCAGUGAAAUGCGUAGAGAUGUGGAGGAACACCGAUGGCGAAGGCAGCCCCCUGGGAUGUGACUGACGCUCAUGUACGAAAGCGUGGGGAGCAAACAGG
rnacentral:rRNA from 1 species